AACCCUUUUAUGAAAUACCCCAGCUCCACUAUAAGUUACUCUGCUUCUCAUUCCUUAUUCCCCAGCCCUAACUUCGAAAACAUUGAACGAAGGAACCCCUCCCCAAUAGAAGCUCGCAGAACCCACGCUCCCAACGAGGGAUCCUCAGCUUGCGCUGGACCUGGGUCUCCAGCCACUCCCGGUCGCUCAGGUCUCUCCACCAGUCUUCACAGCUUCCGAUUGAGAUCAAGGCGCCCUUUAUCUUCUAAGAUGGCGAGAAAAGGUCGUUUCACGAAAAAAUCGAAAGUAGGACAAGGAUGUCAGCAACCACAAAUGGCUCCGUCUCCGGCCUCUGCUACCCACCGUGAUGACUCUGAAAUACUCCCGGACAGUGGUGAUAGUGUCCCUCCAACUUCACGUCCGUUCCUUCCGCCGCGCAAUGUACCAAGGCCUGCUCCACAAACGAGCACAACUACCAUUCAGAACUCGGAGCCAAGCCGUGUAAACUCUACGGAUAAUGCUAAUGAUGUAGAUUCUGUUGAUCAAGAAGCUGAUGACUCGUUUGUUGAUUCUAGAGCUCAGAAUCACAAAGGACGCAAGACAACAGAGUUUUGGAAAGUCAGGAUAAUCAGUAAUUUAGCUAUUAAAUUUUAUGUGUUCAAUCCAAUUUACACUCUUGGUGAUUAUUCUUAUUCUCCCAUGCUGUCCACUACGGAUACACAUAUGGUAUUGUGUUUGGCUUUUAGAUUUUGAUAGCACAAUCAAGCCGGCAAGACUAAGCAUCAGGGAGGCUAUGGAACGGCCUAACGGUAGAAAGAUCGUGCUCAGGUUCAACAAGGCAAAGCAAGCAAUUGGAAAUGAGGCUGGACUGUUGAGUGGCGUGCUUGGUCUGUUAGGAUCUGAUUUUGGGAAAUUUUCUAUCUGCGAGGAAAGUUGGCGCAAGAUUACCACCAAGGACAAAGUUUAUAAUGAAUGUGUCAAGCAUAUUUUCCACAUUGAUGAAGAUAGCGAAGGAACCAUCAAAAAAAUAUUUUGAAAGCUAUGGGAAAGUCCUGGAAGGAGACAAGGCUGAGGUUGUAUAAUGCUUAUUUCGAGCCAAUGUUCACGACUGAACAAAAUAUUGAGAACCAUCCACCGGGAAUAGAUCGAGAGCAUUGGAGAUGGUUCCUUGACUAUCGCGCCAAACCCGAGACGAAGGAGAAGUGCAAGAAAAAUGCGAAGAAUCGAUCAAAACAACAGUAUACCCACACUGGCGGUUCGAAGAGCUUUGCACGGCGUUUGGAAGAAGAGGUACUUUACUUUUUUUGUUCACUCUUCGGACUAUUUCUGUGACUUAAGGUUGCCUUGAUUGUGUGAAAAACGGUAAUGGCAUAAAAUUUGUUGAUACAGUCGGAAGAACAAGGGAGAAUAGUUGGUAGAGGAGAGUUAUGGAUAAAUGUGCACAAAAAAAAAGGACGGCUCCUAUAUGAAUGAUGAAGCAAGAGCAAUCGGUGAAAGAAUUGAGGAGAUUGAGCAGCAGGAUAAGUCAUCAAGGGUGUUGUCUCAAAAUGAUUCCAUUGCUCAGGUUUUCGGAAAAGAGAAACCGGGUAGAGUACGUGGUGUGGGUUUUGGACCGACUCCUAGUCAACUCUUCGGUCCAAAUUCACAUGGGUCUGGCAACGAAGUCCAACUAGAGGAGAGUCAGAGGAAGCUGCUUGAACUGCAGGCAGAGCUUGAAGACGAGAAGUUGAAGAGGAAGGCGAUGGAGGAUGAGGCAGCAGCAGAGAAGAAAAAGAUGAAGGUGAUGGAGAGUGCUCUGAUUUAUCUGUUUCAAUGCCAGGGUGAGGAGCUGCCACCAGACAUCGCUGCAGAAAUGGGUUUCGUGGAAUGAUAGAGUGAAUAGUAGAAUAUUAGGAGUGGAGAUAUUUUGCUAUGAAUCAAGCAUUUUAUUGAAUUAGACUGAGCAACUCUUUGAAAGAGAUUUCUUUUUGUUCGUAUUUUUUAUGGAUAUAUAUUUCCUAUUUUGCUUAUAUAUCAA